GUACUGGUGGUGUAGCGGUAGCACGCGUCCUCAAUGUCGGUGAAACGCGGGUUCAACUCCCGCCUGGGGUU